GACGGUGUGUCGAUCGACGACAAAGCUCGCAAAGGCCAUAUUUGGUUCCAGUCGACUUUAAGCACAAGUCCCACAAGAAUUACCAUAUUACCCCUGACGAGUAUUAACCUAAUAUUUAUGUGUUCUGCCAUUGUUCUACGCAACACAUGCUUUCAUACUUUUCUUACAGCAAAAUUGUUAGAGUCUUAGGUUUGGAGAGAAGAUCCAAGAACUCCUUCAGAGAUUUGUGAUU
rnacentral:lncRNA from 1 species